GGGACACGUGGUAUCCUGUCUGAAUAUGGGGGGACCAUCCUCCAAGGCUAAAUACUCCUGACUGACCGAUAGUGAACCAGUACCGUGAGGGAAAGGCGAAAAGAACCCCGGCGAGGGGAGUGAAAAAGAACCUGAAACCGUGUACGUACAAGCAGUGGGAGCACCUUCGGGUGUGACUGCGUACCUUUUGUAUAAUGGGUCAGCGACUUAUAUUCUGUAGCAAGGUUAACCGUAUAGGGGAGCCGCAGGGAAACCGAGUCUUAACUGGGCGUUAAGUUGCAGGGUAUAGACCCGAAACCCGGUGAUCUAGCCAUGGGCAGGUUGAAGGUUGGGUAACACUAACUGGAGGACCGAACCGACUAAUGUUGAAAAAUUAGCGGAUGACUUGUGGCUGGGGGUGAAAGGCCAAUCAAACCGGGAGAUAGCUGGUUCUCCCCGAAAGCUAUUUAGGUAGCGCCUCGUGAAUUCAUCUUCGGGGGUAGAGCACUGUUUCGGCUAGGGGGUCAUCCCGACUUACCAACCCGAUGCAAACUACGAAUACCGAAGAAUGUUAUCACGGGAGACACACGGCGGGUGCUAACGUCCGUCGUGAAGAGGGAAACAACCCAGACCGCCAGCUAAGGUCCCAAAGUCAUGGUUAAGUGGGAAACGAUGUGGGAAGGCACAGACAGCCAGGAUGUUGGCUUAGAAGCAGCCAUCAUUUAAAGAAAGCGUAAUAGCUCACUGGUCGAGUCGGCCUGCGCGGA
rnacentral:rRNA from 1 species